rnacentral:rRNA from 1 species
GACGAACGCUGGCGGCGUGCCUAAUACAUGCAAGUAGAACGCUGAAGGAAGGAGCUUGCUCUUUCCGGAUGAGUUGCGAACGGGUGAGUAACGCGUAGGUAACCUGCCUGGUAGCGGGGGAUAACUAUUGGAAACGAUAGCUAAUACCGCAUAACAGUAGAUAUCGCAUGAUAGUUGCUUGAAAGGUGCAAUUGCACCACUACCAGAUGGACCUGCGUUGUAUUAGCUAGUUGGUGAGGUAACGGCUCACCAAGGCAACGAUACAUAGCCGACCUGAGAGGGUGAUCGGCCACACUGGGACUGAGACACGGCCCAGACUCCUACGGGAGGCAGCAGUAGGGAAUCUUCGGCAAUGGACGGAAGUCUGACCGAGCAACGCCGCGUGAGUGAAGAAGGUUUUCGGAUCGUAAAGCUCUGUUGUAAGAGAAGAACGAGUGUGAGAGUGGAAAGUUCACACUGUGACGUAUCUACCAGAAAGGACG